CUCCUUCCUCUCUCCCUCAUACACAGCAACAACCUACACGUAAACCCUCAUUUGUUUCUCUCGGGUCUCUACCUUGCAUCUCUCUGGUUCGUUCUACCUCUGCUACACCAUCACACCGGAGGAGAUCGAGAUGAUGAUUUCCGAAGUCGAUUCCGACAGCAACGCCCACAUCAAUCUGAAUGGUACGCAUCUGUCAGUGAGCAACGGUUUUCUAGCCUUGGAAGAUCCAUCGAAGCAUACUUCGAAUCUUCGGUUAUAGAAAGCCAAAACGAGGCUCAAAGCUCUUGCCCCGGGGAUUCAGGCGUUUUUUACAAGGUGCUAGCAGAACAACCUGGAUAGUGCCAAGGCAUGGAUCAAAAUCUUGGCCAAUUCGCAUUGAUAAUGUAGUACAGUUGGAGUGUAUUUUGUGCAGCUCGAUCAUCAACUGAGAAAUGGUUACAAACUUAUUUUAUCGUGUGAGCGUAAGUGGAUUUUCAAUACUGUAAUCUUGAAUGAAGAUCAUAUUGAGAUGAAAUAUGGUUGAUCAGAAGCACCCGAUCCAUACUGGCAAAUACUGCAUCCUUCUCCUUUGGAAUUAUUCAAUACUUGUAAAUCCUUUUGUGCACAAUUCUGCCUUCCUAUUCUUCAAUUUUAGACAUUCCACGGGCACGAAAUCCUCGUGCGAGCACGACGGCCCAAAUCUA